UACGUAGGGUGCAAGCGUUGUCCGGAAUUAUUGGGCGUAAAGAGCUCGUAGGCGGUCUGUCGCGUCGGCUGUGAAAUCCCGAGGCUCAACCUCGGGUCUGCAGUCGAUACGGGCAAACUAGAGUAUUGCAGGGGAGACUGGAAUUCCUGGUGUAGCGGUGAAAUGCGCAGAUAUCAGGAGGAACACCGGUGGCGAAGGCGGCGACCUGGGUAGAUACUGACGCUGAGGUGCGAAAGCGUGGGGAGCAAACAGG
rnacentral:rRNA from 1 species